rnacentral:lncRNA from 1 species
AUAAUGCUAAAUAAGCUUAAUCAAAUUCAAAGAAAAUCUCAAAAAAAUUUCAAAGAAAUAAUAAGAAAUCUUAAAAAAAUAAUAGAAUAAUCACAAAUAUCUCUCAAAUAUAUCUCAAUUCAAUCUUAAUUUAAUGCUAGUUAAAAUCCUAUUGGACUUCAUUCAAUAUUUAAUAUUAUAAUAUAGGAACCUUAAAUAAAUCCUAAUAAAAUCCUAAACCAAAUCCUAAUCAAAUCCUAAAUCCAAAUCCUAAAUUUUAAACCGUAAACCAAAUCUCAAACUCUAAUCCAAACCCUAAAUCCUAAACCAAAUCCUAAUCAAAUCCUAAAUCCUAAAUCAAACC